AAGUCGUAACAAGGUUUCCGUAGGUGAACCUGCGGAAGGAUCAUCAUUGAUUAUUUUCUAUGAUUUUGUGUGAACUGUGUUAUAGGGGUGCUGUUGGCAGGAUGUGUGGGGGGAGUGGUUGGUGAGGCGUGGUGUGCGUCGCGUGGUACGGGGGCAGUAGCGCCCAUGUCACGUCGCGCGUCGCGUCGCAUCGGCAUCGGCUCUCCCUUUGCGUGUGGCCUCGCUCUGUCAGAGUGGGAGUCACGCCUGCCGACGGCAUCCGCAUUUCAAACAACUUUGUUAGACCUACUUUGACUAAUUUAUUACAACCAAUAUAAAUGACAACUUUCAACAAUGGAUCUCUUGGCUCUC
rnacentral:misc_RNA from 1 species